AUCUCUGCUCCGUAUUGUCCCAUGGACGCAGAAAAGAAUAAGGAUCAUCAUUAGCAGCAGCAGCGGAGAAAUCAAAGUGGCCUUGAUGGCGCAGAAAAGGCUCACUGACAUUCCCGUUUUGAGGCGGUGCGAGUGGAGCUGUCAGGUAAGAGUCGCUGACAUUCCCUACUUGAGGUGGCGCUAGUGGAGCUGUCAGGUAAGAGUCGCUGACAUUCCAAACAUGCGGUGGUGCUAACGGAGUUGUGAGAUCCUGGAGCUCCAAGUAUAGCUCCGAGUUUUCAAUCAGGUCGUCAGAGGGUGUCCUUGGCAUGAUGUUGUUGUCAUGCAUAUUGCUAAAGUCGGGUAGGUCGUCGAAUAUCACUUCCUCUCCUAAGGAAAUUGGAGCUGAGACAUUG
rnacentral:lncRNA from 1 species